CACGGGGGGCCUACGGGAGGCAGCAGUGGGGAAUUUUCCGCAAUGGGCGAAAGCCUGACGGAGCAACGCCGCGUGAGGGAUGAAGGCCUCUGGGCUGUAAACCUCUUUUAUCAAGGAAGAAGAUCUGACGGUACUUGAUGAAUAAGCCACGGCUAAUUCCGUGCCAGCAGCCGCGGUAAUACGGGAGUGGCAAGCGUUAUCCGGAAUUAUUGGGCGUAAAGCGUCCGCAGGCGGCCCNNCAAGUCUGCUGUUAAAAAGUGGAGCUUAACUCCAUCAUGGCAGUGGAAACUGUUGGGCUNGAGUGUGGUAGGGGCAGAGGGAAUUCCCGGUGUAGCGGUGAAAUGCGUAGAUAUCGGGAAGAACACCAGUGGCGAAGGCGCUCUGCUGGGCCAUCACUGACGCUCAUGGACGAAAGCCAGGGGAGCGAAAGGGAUUAGAUACCCCUGUAGUCCUGGCCGUAAAACGAUGAACACUAGGUGUCGGGGGAAUCGACCCCUUNCGGUGUCGUAGCCAACCGCGUUAAGUGUUCCGCCUGGA
rnacentral:rRNA from 1 species